AGUGAACGCUGGCGGUAGGCCUAACACAUGCAAGUCGAACGGCAGCACAGUAAGAGCUUGCUCUUACGGGUGGCGAGUGGCGGACGGGUGAGGAAUACAUCGUACUCUACUUUUUCGUGGGGGAUAACGUAGGGAAACUUACGCUAAUACCGUAUACGACCUUCGGGUGAAAGCAGUGGAUCUUCUGACCUUGCGCGAUUGAAUGCGCCGAUGCCGGAUUAGCUAGUCGGGGGGGUAAAGGCCCACCAAGGCGACGAUCCGUAGCUGGUGUGAGAGGAUGAUCGGCCACACUGGAACUGGAACAGGGUCAAGACUCCUACGGGAGGCAGCAGUGGGGAAUAUUGGACAGUGGGCGCAAGCAUGGUCCAGCCAGCCCACGUGGGUGGAGGAGGCCUUGGGGUUGUAAAGACCUUUUGUUGGGAAAGAAAAGCAGCAGGUUAAUACCCCGCUGUUCUGACGGUACCCAAAGAAUAAGCACCGGCUAACUUCGUG
rnacentral:rRNA from 1 species